rnacentral:rRNA from 1 species
UAGGGAAUCUUCCACAAAUGGACGAAAGUCUGAUGGAGCAACGCCGCGUGAGUGAAGAAGGUUUUCGGAUCGUAAAGCUCUGUUGUUGGUGAAGAAGGAUAGAGGCAGUAACUGGUCUUUAUUUGACGGUAAUCAACCAGAAAGUCACGGCUAACUACGUGCCAA